CCCCCCCCAGACAGCCGGUCUGCUUCCGGCUCCUCGGCGCGCACGCGCGGCCGUAGGCGUGUUUUGACAGCUCAGGCCGAGGAGAAGCAGGUGUCGCGAGAGUGGCGGCGCGCCUCCUAGCGAGGGCUGUCAUGGCGAGCGUGGGAAGCGAGGCCGAGCGGGAGCCUCUCCUGGGGCCCCGCUCGCCCAGAAGCAGAGAAUGGGACAUGGUAGAAACACAAGAGCAUUACAAGAGUAGAUGGAGAUCUGUUAGGAUUCUCUACCUCACUAUGUUUCUCAGCAGUGUGGGUUUUUCUAUUGUGAUAAUGUCAAUCUGGCCAUACCUUCAAAAGAUUGAUCAAACAGCCAAUGCAAGUUUUUUAGGCUGGGUUAUUGCUUCAUUUAGUCUUGGCCAAAUGGUAGCUUCACCUCUAUUUGGUUUAUGGUCUAAUUAUAGGCCAAGAAAAGAACCUCUUAUCAUCUCCAUCUUUAUUUCGGUGGUAGCCAACUGCCUAUAUGCAUAUGUCCACGUGCCAGCUGCUCAUAAUAAAUACUACAUGUUGAUUGCUCGUGGAUUGGUGGGAUUUGGAGCAGGAAACGUAGCUGUUGUUCGAGCAUACAUUGCUGGCGCUACUUCCCUUCAGGAGAGAACAAGUGCCAUGGCUAAUACGAGCACAUGCCAAGCCUUGGGCUUUAUUCUGGGUCCAGUUUUUCAGACAUGUCUUGCACUCAUUGGAGAAAAGGGAGUAACGUGGGACACCAUUAAGCUGCAGAUCAACAUGUACACAGCACCAGUUUUACUUAGUGCCUUCCUGGGAAUUGUAAACAUUAUUCUGAUCCUCUUUAUAUUAAGAGAGCAUCGUGUAGAUGACUCAGGACGGCAGUGUAAGAGUGUGAAUUUUCAAGAAGAAAAUACAGAUGAAGUUCAGAUUCCUGAAGGAAGUAUUGAUCAAGUUGCUGUUGUGACUACCAAUAUUCUGUUUUUUGUGGUUUUGUUUAUCUUUGCCCUUUUUGAAACAAUCCUUACUCCAUUAACAAUGGACAUGUAUGCCUGGACCCAGGAGCAGGCUGUGCUCUAUGACGGAAUAAUUCUUGCUGCUCUUGGAGUUGAGGCAGUUGUUGUUUUUAUGGGGGUUAAAUUACUUUCCAAAAAGAUUGAUGAGCGUGCCAUUCUCCUGGGAGGACUCGUGGUUGUAUGGGUUGGCUUCUUUAUCUUGUUACCCUGGGGAAAUCAGUUUCCCAAAGUACAGUGGGAAGAUUUACACAACAGCUCAAUCCCUAAUACUACAUUUGGAGAAAUUAUUAUUGAUCUUUGGAAUUCUCCAAGAGAAGAUUACAGUGAACAGCCAACCGGGUGUCCAAUUGAACAAGCCUGGUGCCUGUACACCCCAGUGAUCCAUCUGGCCCAGUUCCUAACAGCUGCUGUGCUAGUGGGAAUCGGCUAUCCAGCCUGCAAUGUCAUGUCCUAUACAUUAUAUUCAAAAGUUUUAGGACCCAAACCUCAGGGUAUGUACAUGGGCUGGUUGACUGCUUCUGGAAGUGCAGCACGGAUUCUUGGGCCUGUGUUCAUCAGCCAUGUGUACACUUACUUGGGCCCACGAUGGGCAUUCAGCCUUGUGUGUGGAAUAGUGGUGCUCACCAUUUCACUCAUGGGAGCUGUUUACAGAAGACUUAUUGCCUUUUCUGUCAGAUGUGGGAGGAUCCGGGAAUAAACUAGCAGUCUCUGCUGGAUGCUUGCUGCCAACCACCUCCAACUCAGCCUUGAGUAGCAAAAGCAUGUGCUGAGUAACUAACUAUGAAUGAUUACAGAUUCCAGUGCCAAGCAGACACGGUGACCCUGUUACAGAGAAGAAUGCCUCCUGUCAACAGUUCAUGCUUUACCAUGUGACUGUUAACUGGAUGAAAAACAGGGAUCUUCUGGGCUUUGAAAGCAUUUCUACUGAAUGACAUCGUUCUAUUGAGUAUGUUUUUGCUCGAGACUGAUUAGAAGUGCUGGAUCUAUCAGAGGAAUGAGCUCUUCGAAGGUAUCGAGAAUGGGGCCUUCCUUCUGCAUUUUCAAUUAAUCUUUCCCGUCCCCUAUUAUUAGUUUCUUGGUCUGGGUUUCCCCAGUGUGUACAAAAAUUGCUUCCAUCUCCUGAAGAAAAGUCACUUAAAUUCUUAUUUUUUGGAAAUACAGUAAUUUUAUUUGGAAGUGACUGACCAAUCAAAAGUCUUCUUCUGUCAAGUAAGCUACCACUCAAACUGGUACUGGAAGAAGCUGUAAGUGUUGUGGAAAUUGUGGCAUGCCCACUAUCCAUCGAAUCCUCUACAGUCCCCAAGUCUUUACUCUUUGUUGAAGGAUUCCGUGACAUGAAAGGAUGGUCCAACACAGAAGACAGACUUAACCGAUCUGCAGGAUUUCUACGAAGUAACUGGUGGAUAAGGUCCUGAGCCUCUCGUGACAAAAAGGUUGGCAUUUCAUAAUCUGCCAAGACUACUUUAUUCAAUGUGUUCUUGACUGUAUCAGUGUCAAAAGGUGGUCUUCCAAUAAGCAAUGUAUAAAACAUACAGCCCAAUGACCAAAUAUCAGAUUCAAGUCCAUGUGCACUUCGAGUUGCAAUUUCUGGUGAAAUAUAAUUAGGAGUUCCGCAGAGUGUGUAGUGCUUUUCAUGUGGCAUUUUCAAUUGUGUUGCCAGUCCAAAGUCAGCAAUUUUUAUGUUCAUAUUACGUGUAAGUAAGAUGUUAGAGAGUGUGAGGUCCCGAUGUAAUAUGCCAUGAGAAUGAAGAUACAACAUUCCUGUGAUGAUCUGAUGCAUGAAUUGCCUCGCUGUGAAGAUGAACAAAAAAAGAACUUAACAAUUCAAAAGUUACAGAAAAUCCAGUGUUUAGAAUACAUGAUAAAACCUAGCUUAGACUGACCAACUAAAAUAUUACUCUAACUAGGCACACCUUCUAAUCUUUGCUUUUUCCAACUUAUACACUAAGGGAAACCAAAUUUUCUAUCAGUUCACAGUGUGUAGGGUAGCUAGGGUAACCAGAUAUCCAUAAAAGUUAAGGAAAUCAUUGAGGGGCUGGGGAAACGGCGCAGUGGUGAAGAACAUCUGACUGCUCUUCCAAAGCCCUGAGUUAACGCCCAACAACCACAUGGGAUACUAUAACCAUCUGUAAUGGGAUCAGAUUCUUCCUUCUGGUGAGCACCAAGACAGAACACUCACACACAAAUACACGAAUAAAUAAAUCUCAAAGGAAAGUUUUUUAAAUCAUGAAAAACUCAUAAAUAUGUCAGCUGCUAGGGCAAAUCUUAGUUUUAGUUCCUGAGUGCCAAGUAUGAUAAGCAGGCUGCCACAUCCAUCCAAGCAUUUUCAUGGAUGCUGGGGACCAAAUUCCAGUUCUCACACUUGUGUAGCAAGAACUUUACACACAGACUCCACUGUAAACAUUUAAUACAUUUCUUAAUACUUUUCUGCAUGUUUACAUAUAUUUAAAGCUGCAUAUACAUUAUAAUAAAUGUCUUUAAGAUAUAAAAAAUGGUAUAAAAGCUGUUUCAUUACCUUUCUUCAGUGUACAUGUUAGUUAUUUCUCUAACAGAUCUUUAUUUUAUUUAAUUGCUGUUUAAAAUUUAUAUAAUCUCUGACAUUUCAAGAUUACAAAUAAUAUAGGAAUUAACAUUCUUGUGCACACUUAUUUUUUGUGUGUGUUCUUUUUCUACACAUAUAUAUGAAAACAAAAAAGAACUUAACUCAAAAGUUACAGAAAAUCCAGUGUUUAGAAUACAUGAUAAAACCUAGCUUAGACUGACCAACUAAAAUAUUACUCUAACUAGGCACACCUUGUAAUCUUUGCUUUUUCCAACUUAUACACUAAGGGAAACCAAAUUUUAUAUCAGUUCACAGUGUGUAUGUGAAAAUGUGUCAGUUUCAUGCCUUUUUAAAAGGCUAUAUUUUCAUAUAUUCCCUAUUAACAUCAAUUUCAGUGUGUAAAAAUGGUCCUUCACUGUUUUGGUUAGCACCCUCAGGACUAUUUGGUCUGUGAUUUUUAUGUUUAUUGGUUAUUUGAGCUUUCUCCUCAAGGAGAGAGCCAACUCCUCAGAGCUGAUCUCUGACCAUAACACCACAUAACACACAAAUGAAUAAUGAAUACUAAAAACAAUUAGCAGCCUUAUUCCUUAGCUCUAUCUACAAUAUCAAAAUCAGUCAUAGCUUGAAAGGGGGAAAAAACCAGUAGUUUGACAAUAUAUGGACCUUAAUCUGAUUUGGAAAAAUGGGGGGAUGAGUUGAAACACAUUUUGUAUUUCACAGAAAGAUAUUAAUUUGGAAAAGCUUUGUUACUAUGUCCAUUUACGUCUCCACUGUAAAGAUGUAUUACCUGGGGAGUCUGAAUCACCCCAAGAUUUUAAAAGUUGAACAAUAAGCUAAAGGAGUUCCAGCAGAGUGCUCUCAAUGUUUACUUGGAAACUUUAGUCAUCAAACACAUUAUAAGUAGUUUCUAGAUUUGAAAGCAUUUACAGUAAAUUGUUACCAAUGACUUAACUGAAAAUGUGUUUUGGAGAACAGAAGGCUAACAAAUGCCUCUCUCUACUUCUGUGAUAUGAUAUAAAUGCCAGCUUUUGUGGAGACAUGAUUUAAUAAAAUAACAAUUGGAAUAGUUUGAUUUGUGGCUGGAGAGAUGGUUCAGCUGUUGAAGUGCACACUGCUAUUACAGAGGACUCAAGUUCUAUUCCCAGCAUCCAUGGUAACCCUCCAUGGGCAUGGGCACCUACUUGCAUGCACCAUAGACACACACUCAUACGAAUGGCUUAAAAAAGAAGAAAAAGAAACUGUUGAAGCUGAAAGGAUUGCUCAGUGGUUAAAAGUCUUGGCUGAUCUUCCAGAGGACCUUGAUUCCCAAAACCCCAAAGUUGGCUCACAGUCAAGUUCCAGAGGAUACAAAGCCUUUUUAUGCACUCCUUGGGUACCAGACAUACAUACAGGUAAAAUGUAAAUUAAAAUUCUCACGCACUCACACACACCCGGGUGUAGUGGCAUACACUUUUAAUCCCAACACUUGGGAGGCAAAGACAGGAGUCCCUAUGUCAGUUCAAGAUCGGCCUGGUCUAUAUAUUGAGUUCCAGGACAGAAAGCGCUACAUAGUAGACAGACCUUGUCUCAAAACACAAAACAAAUGUUUUACUAAAUAUUACAAAAGAGCACAUUUUCAAAACAACACCUUCAAAAGCUAAGCAAUUACCAAGAUAAAAACUCUUACCUCCCCUCAAGACACCUACCUUCACUUUCUGAGAAAGGUUUCAUUCGGUUCUUUAGAUACCUGUUCAUUUCUCCAUUAUGGCACAUUUCUAAUACCAGGUAUACGUAAUUGUUAUCUUCAAAAUAAUUAUAAAGCUAAAACAGAAAAAGAGUUCAGUCAAUUACACAAACAUCCAGCUUUCUUAACUACUUCUAACACCUUGUAUCUUACCUCCAAAAUAGAAGGGUGUUUCAACUGGCAAUGUAUUUUCACCUCAUUUUGGACUCUCUGUACCAUUCCAGCUUUGUACAUGGCUUUCUUAUCUAUCUAAAAAUAAGAAAGGCCAGAUUUAUUUGAUUUUAAUGAUCCUGUGGUUUGAACCCAGGGUCUUGCGCAUGCUAGAAAAGCACUCUGCCAACACUCUAUACCCCUAAGCCCAAACAAAAGCCCAAACAUCAAUCUAAAAUUGUCUGAAGUCUUUUUAUGUCUUUGAAGUCAACUUACUCUUCUCUAUGUUUAACCCUUGUACCUAGAAGAAGGAAUUUUCUGUAUGUCCAGUGUGUUUAUGUUACAAGAGGUUGGCUUUGAACUUCUGAUCUUCAUUUUUCCAACUCCUCAGAGCUGUGAUAACAAGCAUGCCACACCAUGCUUGACAAUAAUGGUAGUUUGGAUUAUUAUGGCCACACAUAAAUAAACAAAUAAAUUGUU